rnacentral:rRNA from 1 species
CCUACGGGGUGCAGCAGUCGAGAAUCAUUCACAAUGGGGGAAACCCUGAUGGUGCGACGCCGCGUGGGGGAAUGAAGGUCUUCGGAUUGUAAACCCCUGUCAUGUGGGAGCAAAUUAAAAAGAUAGUACCACAAGAGGAAGAGACGGCUAACUCAGUGCCAGCAGCCGCGGUAAUACAGAGGUCUCAAGCGUUGGUCGGAAUCACUGGGCGUAAAGCGUGCGUAGGCUGUUUCGGAGGUCGUGUGUGAAAGGCGCGGGCUCAACCAGCGGACGGCACAUGAUACUGCGAGACUAGAGUGAUGGAGGGGGAACCGGAAUUCUCGGUGUAGCAGUGAAAUGCGUAGAUAUCGAGAGGAACACUCGUGGCGAAGGCGGGUUCCUGGACAUUAACUGACGCUGAGGCACGAAGGCCAGGGGAGCGAAAGGGAUUAGAUACCCCGGUAGUC